GAUGAACGCUGGCGGCGUGCCUAACACAUGCAAGUCGAACGAAGCUUGAGGAAUGAUUUCUUCGGAAUGAAUUCUGAUAUGACUUAGUGGCGGACGGGUGAGUAACACGUGAGCAACCUGCCUUUCAGAGGGGGGAUAACGGCUGGAAACGGUCGCUAAUACCGCAUAAGAUUGUAGUACCGCAUGGUACAGCAAUUAAAGGAGCAAUCCGCUAUGAGAUGGGCCCGCGGGCGCAUUAGCUAGUUGGUGAGGUAACGGCUCACCAAGGCGACGAUGCGUAGCCGACCUGAGAGGGUGACCGGCCACAUUGGGACUGAGACACGGCCCCAAAACUCCUACGGGAGGCAGCAGUGGGGAAUAUUGCACAAUGGAGGAAACUCUGAUGCAGCGACGCCGCGUGAGCGAUGAAGUAUUUCGGUAUGUAAAGCUCUAUCUAGCAGGGAAGAUGAUGACGGUACCUGACGUAAGAAG
rnacentral:rRNA from 1 species